AAAAGAAUUGCUUAUUGCCAAUUCUCAUGGAUUCCGGUUGGUUGGUUUUGUUAUUGGCAAUUUCUCUCCAGUUAUUCAUCCUCUUCAAUACAGGUGUUGCAAGAAAAAUUCCCUACAAAAGCUCACUGAAAAUCUGAGAAGGUGAUGCUGCUGCUGCUACAAUAGUUCCAUUGGGUAAACCUCCAAGGCCACUGGUCAGGGAAGGGUCAGGCCCCCACAUUAAUCCACUUCCUCCGCCGCCGCCGCCUUCUGCUGCAAUAGAUUCAUUGCAUAAACCUCCAAAGCCACCGGUCAGGAAAGGGUCAGGCCCUCUCAUUUAUCCACUUCCUCUGCCGCCGCCGCCGCUGCCAUCAGUGUUGAUGUAACUUAAUCUAUCCUAAUUUCCUCAAGUCAAAGGAUGAACAAUGUUCUCUUAAUAUUUAAUUUGAAAUUACUGUUGCUUCAUAUGAAAUGUUGUUCAUUUUUGCUGCAGAACAGUUUAUGGACAACAUUUGCAUAAUUUGGUAAGAUAAAAACCUUUUUCUCUUAUCUUUUUUUUAUUAUUAUUAUUUACUUGGUUUGGUUUGUAUUCCCGAUAGUCCGGUACAUUGAAAUGCAAAAGAGAAAGU